rnacentral:rRNA from 1 species
UACGUAGGGUGCAAGCGUUGUCCGGAAUUAUUGGGCGUAAAGAGCUCGUAGGCGGUUUGUUGCGUCGGCUGUGAAAUCCCGAGGCUCAACCUCGGGUCUGCAGUCGAUACGAGCAAACUAGAGUGUUGCAGGGGAGACUGGAAUUCCUGGUGUAGCGGUGAAAUGCGCAGAUAUCAGGAGGAGCACCGAUGGCGAAGGCAGGUCUCUGGGCCACUACUGACGCUGAGAAGCGAAAAGCAUGGGGGAGCGAACAGG